GAUGAACGCUGGCGGCGUGCUUAACACAUGCAAGUCGAACGAAGCACUUUGAAACUUUCGGGUUUCAAAGUGACUGAGCGGCGGACGGGUGAGUAACGCGUGGGUAACCUGCCUUAUACAGGGGGAUAACAGUUAGAAAUGACUGCUAAUACCGCAUAACCCGAUAGAGUAGCAUGACUUAGUCGGCAAAGAUUUAUCGGUAUAAGAUGGACCCGCGUCGGAUUAGCUAGUUGGUGAGGUAAUGGCCCACCAAGGCGACGAUCAGUAGCCGGCUUGAGAGAGUGAACGGCCACAUUGGGACUGAGACACGGCCCAAACUCCUACGGGAGGCAGCAGUGGGGAAUAUUGCACAAUGGGGGAAACCCUGAUGCAGCAACGCCGCGUGAAGGAAGAAGUAUUUCGGUAUGUAAACUUCUAUCAGCAGGGAAGAAAAUGACGGUACCUGACUAAGAGGCCCCGGCUAACUACGUGCCAGCCGCCGCGGUAA
rnacentral:rRNA from 1 species